rnacentral:rRNA from 1 species
AUUGAACGCUGGCGGCAUGCCUUACACAUGCAAAUCGAACGGUAACGGGCCUUCGGGUGCCGACGAGUGGCGAACGGGUGAGUAAUACAUCGGAACGUGCCCGAUCGUGGGGGAUAACGAGGCGAAAGCUUUGCUAAUACCGCAUACGAUCCACGGAUGAAGGCAGGGGACCGCAAGGCCUUGCGCGGACGGAGCGGCCGAUGGCAGAUUAGGUAGUUGGUGGGAUAAAAGCUUACCAAGCCGACGAUCUGUAGCUGGUCUGAGAGGAUGAUCAGCCACACUGGGACUGAGACACGGCCCAGACUCCUACGGGAGGCAGCAGUGGGGAAUUUUGGACAAUGGGCGCAAGCCUGAUCCAGCCAUGCCGCGUGCAGGAUGAAGGCCUUCGGGUUGUAAACUGAUUUUGUACGGAACGAAAAGCCUUCUUUUAAUACAGGAGGGUCAUGACGGUACCGUAAGAAUAAGCACCGGCUAACUACGUG